rnacentral:tRNA from 1 species
GCGAGGAUGGCGAAGUGGUUAACGCGUUCGGUUGCAGCCCGGAUAUUCCUGGGUUCGAAUCCCAGUCCUCGCU